GCCGGAAUAGCUCAGUGGUAGAGCGUGUCACUCGUACUUUCCUUCUGCGAAAUGACAAGGUCCACGGUUCAAUCCCGUGUUUCGGCA